rnacentral:lncRNA from 1 species
CACAAACCUGAGAGGGCAGGAAGUCCACGCUGCCACCACGGGGUCACCACAGGGAGCCUGGUGGGGACACAGAGUAAAAAGAAUAGAAAAUAACCAAAUGUCAAGACUGCAACUGGGGUGGAGCCAAGCUGCUGCGGAUGUUGCCAAGGGCCCUUCCCGGGAGAGCCAGGUGGGGUACCCACAUGCCACCUUCUCCUCAGGUGGAGCCACCGCCUGUGGCCUCCUGUGGGGCCAGCCUGGACUGCAGCUGCCAGGACCUAGUGAUGGCCCCAAACCUGAGAGUGGGCCCAGAGUCCCACCCCGCUAACCAUGCUGAAAAAGGCCACAGGGCACAUGAAGCCUUUGCUCCCUGGAUCAGGUCACGCUCUCCAGUUUUCCUUCCAGGAGGACAGGCCAUGCACUAAAAAACAGCUGCAGAGGAAAGGCUGGACCAGGUGUGCUGGGAGUCACCAGGAGCAAGGUGGUGAAGUGAAGAAACUGAGAUAGGAGAAGGGAUGGUGCCUGAGUCUGCGGCAGACCCUGAACUGGGCCACAUCUCCCAACUUGAGAUUGAAGUCGCUUUGAAAGCAGAGCACAUGAAUCCGGGCAACGUGACUUAAGAGCUGGCUGAUGUUCCAGGACAGCACAAAAGAACGGAACUUGUUUUCAUGCUAUGAGUGCGCAAACCAAUGGGCAGUUUUUGGGGUUACUCGUGAUUGCUCCUCGGUCCAGAGUUCAGGCAGCAAUCUGAGCCACUCAACUGCUCUUCUUUACCCCUCUACCUCUGCAGUUCAUUGGGGGACAGAGCUGGGCCAGGAUCCUGGGACAGAAGGAGGAGGCGGGCCCAGGAAAGUCCACUUGGGGUAACACACAAUUUGUACAUAAAAAAGAAAUGUUCACCUCUUUGUAUGUACCGUAGUAAUUAUUUCACCUUCUUUUAUGAACUUGCACAUUUUCAGAGAGAGUUAAAUUAAGCAGAGUCUGAAAGUGGAGAAUUCUCACAUAGAUAAAAGAAUGGGGACCUGAAAUUGGGUCAUCAGGAAGUGUCUUGUGGCAAAAUACACUUAGUAUCGAACUGAAGGAAGAAAUAUUUCAAACAUUUUCUUUAAGGAAAACUUAAUGGAUGUGACUUAAUAUUGUCUAGACUGACCUAGCAGCACAAGGUGGUGCGUUCAAGGACUUUUCAUCUCAAUCCACAGGAAAAGGGUUCGAUUUAGAUGAGAAAGAGGGAGCGGGGCACAGCUAGACUGGAGAGGCAUCCUGUCCACGGAUUAGUCUUCACUCUUCAUGUGGGCAGUAGAAUGGUAAACGGGACCUUCUUAAAACAGCAGCUCCCAAACACUGGGAGGUUGAUGUGCUUCCUAAACCCUCACUGAUUCAUGAUGUUCGGCACAGUGUGGGGCCUCCCGAAAACGGUGCUGAUCAUAUGGAGUUUGUGGAACAUCUCCUAUGUGUACUACCGGGACUCUACUAUCCUCCGUGAUCACAAUUUCACUGGGGGCCAGUCGCCUAGAAGAUCUCACGGGGUGUCCAAUCUUUUGGCUUCCCUGGGCCACAUUGGAAGAAGACGAAUUGUCUUGCACCACAUAUAAAAUACACUAACACUAACGAUAGCUGAUGAGCUAAAAAAGAAAAUUGCAAAAAUAUCUCAAUGCUUUAAGAAAGUUUACAAAUUUGUGUUGGGCUGCAUUCAAAGCCAUCUUAGGCCACAUGUGGCCCGUGGGCCAUGGGUUGGACAAGCUUGAAGAUAGCCAUGAGACUACUGAUGACAAGAAUAAAGGUGGUUUAUUGAAUCCGUACUGUGUACUAGACUCUUCACAUGCAGAGCCUCAUUUAAUGCUCGUAACAAUCUCUUGAGGCUGAGACAAGCAUAUCCCCCAUCUUACAGAGGAAGAAGCCCACUCAGAGAAGCUAAGGAACUAACCCAAGAUCACACAACUAGAGUAGGGAUUCAAACCCAGACAAUGUGGAACCACAGACCACAACUUACCCACCAGCUGUUGAUGAAGAAUUUCAGACCAAAAGACUAUAGAGAGAGAAAAAAACUCCUGCUCCAAAUGAGAGAAGAGAAAGAGUGUUGACGGUAAAAUAUCAGUGAGACGCUGUGAUUUGUGCCUUUUGUCUUUUUCUAUCUGGCUCCCCUAGCAACAGUUAAGUAGUAAUGAAUGUAAAUGCUCAGUAACACGCCGGCGAGACUGUUCCACCAGGCGCAGCAUCCCUGGUAAACAGAAAUGCAUGCUAAUUUCUGCUCCGUGAAGCAUAGGAAACAUCACUAGGGGCUGCCCAGUGGAAAGGAACAAAAAGCAGAUGGAAAAAAUGUUUAAAUCUCAAGUUUAUGUGAGAACAGAAAAGAAGGAACAUGUUGUAAAUUAUUUUUUGAAAUAUUAAGCUACUAACAAAAUCCUAACACCAAGACAGACAACAGGGGUGGUAAAAGGGGAAGGAGAGACGGAGUCACAAUGGAGACGGUUUUGCUACAGCACAUCAUUAACCGCCACGUUUUUCUGCAGUAUCUGAAAAUAUCAGUCUUGGAAAUACCUAUGCAUUAUUUUUUCAGAGGUGUGUGUCUAUGGCCUCGGGGCUGGAGCUGGAAAACAAGCUAUUGCCAUGAGCUCAUGCUGGAGUCUGUGUAAAUUGUUUCCUCUCCUUAUGUAUAAUGUUUCUAAUUAGGACUGUUACAGAGGAUGAGCUCUGUGGGCUGUUGAAUUGACUCUUUGUGCUCACUGCAAAUCUAGGGCUUUAUGCCUGCCCAUGCUUGGGCCGACCUGCUUCUUAGAGGCAUCGCUAAAUGGGGAAGGUGACCCUGUCCUGCUUCCUGAUGUCUGAUAUCAGGGCUGUUGGGGAAACACCCAAGAGAUCUGCUGUCACCCCUGGAGUGAAUAGAUACAUGACUCUGGUUUCUAGAUGCAUAACUCUUGUUUCUAGUUGGCCCUUUUAUCCAAUUAUACCUUUAAUAAACAAAAGUCCAUUUUGAGGUCCUUUCUCUAAGAGACAACUAUUUACCUAAAAGUUGUAGGGUGAGCAGUAGACACUAGUUCCUCCCUCUGCAUCAAGAAUUUAAGAAAUGGGCUGGGCACAGUGGCUCACACCUGUAAUCCCAGCACUUUGGGAGGCCAAGGUGGGUGGAUCUCUUGAGAUCAGGAGUUUGAGACCAGCCUGGCCAACAUAGUGAAACCCCGUCUCUACUAAAAAUACAGAAAUUAUCUGAGUGUUGUGGUACAUGCCUGUAAUCCCAGCUACCCGGGAGGCUGAGGCAGGAGAAUCAUUUGAACCCGGAAGGCGGAGGUUGCAGUGAGCCAAGAUUGUGCCACUGCACUCUAGCCUCAGUGAUGGAGCGAGACGCCAUCUCAAAAUAAAUAAAUAAAUAAAUAAAUUUUAAAAGAAUUUUGGAAAUGUUUAGGGAAAGUGGAGUAGGACUCUGCUUCCCCAAGAUGCUGAGGCUUUGCAGAGAGGAUGUGACCCAGAGGGUAUGAGUCUCCCCGGCUUGGACCCACUCCUGCUCCCGACCUCUGACAUGUUUCUAGGUCAGACACACUUAGAAAAUUAAUCCUCAGCCAUCUGAGUAGCUGAUUGUCAGCAGGCAAUUCCCUUCCACCGGUAAAACUUCAGUCAGCUACGCUGGGCGAUGCAUAGAAAUACAGUAUUGGCUUGGCUUAGAGGUCUCCAGACACUUGGUCCCAGAGGACCAAGUAAAGGUUGCUUGUUAAUCUAGUACGACAUUCCCACUGUGGGACCUGUUAGGCUCCACACUGAAGAGGUGCCAGGAAUUCAAGGAGAGUGGAGGCUGGUGCUGAAAAGCUUCCCCCAGUGAUUCUGAUAUGCUCAGAGGGGGUGAUGGUGGUGGUCUUGGGCAGGCUUCCCAUUGUGUCAGGCCCAUGGUCACUAAUUCUUGUCCAGACCUGCAGAGCCAGAAUAGCCCAGCCCACAGAGCAGAAGCCACAGUGUAAGAAGCCCGACCUGGGCCAGAAAGCCUGACGAUGUCAGAAAAAAAUCCCCAUCAGUGUGAUGCCAUGGAAACCCUAGACAGCAGGCAGAUCUUUCUUCCUACGAGCCCAUUGGCACCUCCCUGGGAACUGGGAGCUGAGUAGGGAGGUAAAUCCCAGAAGCCAACAGAACACAGGUUUCAUGGAGAGCCUGGAUGCAAACCAGCAGUAGAGGACUGCUGCUCGGCACUGCGGAGGUGCUCAUGCCUUGCACCUGGUGGUUUGCCAAUGGACAAUUUCUCCAUGACCUAGUUUUCUACCUGGUCUGAAAUGAGAAAAAAUAAGUACAGCAUAGCAAGUUUUUCAUUAAGCUAAAUUUGUUCUAUUUAAAGAACUGCCAUUUGUUCUGGAACUAUGUCCUUUCUACUUUUUUUGGUGGAAGAAAAGUACUUUUAAGAAACAGAUGUGACAAUGUGGUAGUGGAUGACAACAUUUUUUGGUGUUGCUUUUUAAUAUUUCUAUUUUUCAAAAUAAAACCUGGCAACACUGUGUUAGUCCUCUGUUUUGUUUGUUUGCAUGCUUGCUUUUGCUUCUGUGUGUGGCGGAUUAGGGAUGGACACAAACUCUUUGGAACUUUUCAUACUGAAAGGUGCACCUAAUUUGCCUUCUCUUAAAUCUGGGCUGGCCUUAGUGACUUACUUGACUAAUAAAAUGUGGUGCGCAUGACCGCAUAGGUCUUCUGAAACUAGAUCACGGGAAACCCUGCAGCUUCCUUUCCAGGCCUCUUGGAACACUUAC